rnacentral:sRNA from 1 species
GUGUGUGUGUGUGUGUAGACAGGCAGGAGGAAAGAAUUCCUGGGGUGCCCUGUCACUAACCCCAAUCCCACAUUCAGCUGCACACCCCCACCAGUCAUUCCAUGCCACCCACCAGCGUUCUUUCGCCUCAGUGGGAGAAAGCAAUUUGCAUCCAACCAGCAGGAUUAAGAUAGAUGCAUAGAGCUAGCUUUCUCAUCUCACAAACCGGUUUCAUCUCACGGAGGCCGCUGUGCGCAAGGCAGUGGGGGUGGUUUCAUUGUAAUGUGGCCCCUGCGGGCUGAGUUCCAGAUUUGCGGUUCAGUUUGUCUGCUUUAGAGGUGCCAAGGGAGGAAACUGAGGUUCAGAAACUGUAAGUAAGAUGUACCCGUGCACACUCAGUGCACAGCAUUGGAAUAGAACCCAAGUAUCAGGACCCUGUACAAAUCUGCCUCGAGCCACACCUGACACCGGAAGACAUACAUCGGAGGGAUAACAGGCAACAAGCAGACACCUCUGCAUCCAGUUGGAGAAUGUUGCUGAACAAGUUGAUAUGGACGGAGAGAGAUAGAAAAGGUCGUGAGGGCUCGAGUUCAGCCAUAUUUACUUCUGUGAUGGUGGAGAUGGUGCAUGAACAUUGGAAACAUUGGACCAAAGGAUGAGAAAGGGAGAGAGUGGGGUUUGGUGUGUGUAGUCAUUUACCACAUAAGCAUGAAGACAUGAGGCCAGACCCCCAGAACCCAUGUAAAGCCAGAUGUAUAGCAUAAGCAUCUGUAUUCCUAGCAAUGCUACCGAGAGACAGGAGGCAGAGUCAGGAGGCUCCCCGGGAGCUUGUAAGCUGGCUAGUCUGGAGAACACAGUGAAAAACAAUGAAGAGACCCUGUCUCCAUCACAAUGGAAAGCAAGAGCCAGGCAUCACAGUGUACUCCUUUAAGCUCAGCACUUGAGAAAUGGCAAGUGGAUUUCUGAGUUCAAGGCCAGCCUGGCCUACAAAGAAAGUUUCAGGACAGCCAGGACUACACAGAAAAACCCUGUCUCUAAAAACAAAACAAAAGGAAACAUAACAAAAGAAAACACAGAAAGCAAGAACUGGUUUGACAGGGAAAGGCAGUGAAGAGGAUCCUCCAUCUCAUAUUCUUUCUGAGGAAAUAUUAUGUUUAACUAGAAUUGGUCUCCAUGAUAGAGAAUCCCUUGGAAAAUUACACAACUGUAUUCUAGGAACCUGAGGCCAUGAUGCCCAGCUGACUCUUCUUAGUGUCUGUUAAACUACCUGCUUGUGCAAACCUCCCUCUCCAGCUAAGCUAACUGCUUAUCUUAGCUUCUGUUAAGCUCCCUGCUUGCACAAAAGCUCCUGCGCAGCUGCCGAGUAAGAUACAGGAUGUGGUUUUGCCUUUAAAAGUCCCUUGCUCGAAAGCUCAAGACUUCAUUUAGGUUCUGAGUGCAGUCCAAGUUGGCUGGAAUACUUUCCUUUUGUCGUCGUUGUUUUGGGGUUGUUUUUGUUUUU